rnacentral:rRNA from 1 species
GACGAACGCUGGCGGCGUGCUUAACACAUGCCAGUCGAACGGAAAGGCCCUGCUUUUGUGGGGUGCUCGAGUGGCGAACGGGUGAGUAACACGUGAGUAACCUGCCCUUGACUUUGGGAUAACUUCAGGAAACUGGGGCUAAUAUCGGAUAGGAGCUCCUGCUGCAUGGUGGGGGUUGGAAAGUUUCGGCGGUUGGGGAUGGACUCGCGGCUUAUCAGCUUGUUGGUGGGGUAGUGGCUUACCAAGGCUUUGACGGGUAGCCGGCCUGAGAGGGUGACCGGCCACAUUGGGACUGAGAUACGGCCCAGACUCCUACGGGAGGCAGCAGUGGGGAAUAUUGCACAAUGGGCGGAAGCCUGAUGCAGCAACGCCGCGUGCGGGAUGACGGCCUUCGGGUUGUAAACCGCUUUCGCCUGUGACGAAGCGGGAGUGACGGUAAUGGGUAAAGAAGCACCGGCUAACUACGUG